GGUUUGCGUAGUCUGUCGUCACCGCCCAAGUUAGUGGGAGUGUUGGCUGUGGUUUCCAUCCUUAGGAAGUUUCCGCGCCACGGAAGUGGAAGUCACAUGCAUUCCAAGCUGUGCGCGGCGGCCUUGAAGCUGGAGAGUAUUUUAAACACUACGGAGCUUUUUCCCUAACGGAUCAGGCACAUACAUUUGGAAGAAUAAUAAAUCAAAGAAGAAAUUUUAUAAUGAAAAAUUUACAAGAAAGAAAUUUACAAAAUGUCUUGAGUCCUGGAAGAAAAGAUUCCAGAGGAAAAACUAAAUAUAAUGAGCAGAAAAAAAAAAAAGAAAAGAAAAGAAAAGAAAAGAAAAGCCAGCAAACAAUCAUAACAAAUCCCCAGGAACUGAGGAAGCGCAAAUUAAUGUUUUGAAUGAUGACAGAGGAAGAUUUUUUUACUUUUCUUUCCGCUAUUGAAGGCGAGGCAUUAAAAUUGAAGUGCUACUAGCAUGAUUUCUAGAAUGUCUGAUUAAUGGAUUCCUGCUCCUUAGAACACUGAUUUUAGGGAUGCAUUUGGUUUGAACUCAAGUAGGUUUGAUGAUGCUAAGUGAGAACCUUGUUUAGGCCAAGUUCUAAGGCAUUAUCUCAUUGAGUACAUACUCACUGAGUUUCAUAACUGAUUUAUAUUGAUUGAUUUCCAGGUCUUGGUUUAUUUCUGAUGUGUGUGGGUAUUUUGUCUCUAUGUACAUCUGUGCACUAUGUGUGUAGCUGGUGCUCUCGGAGACUAGAUGAGGAGGUUGAAUCAGAUGAGGACUGUAGUCUCAGACAGUUACAGGCUACCAUGUGAGGCUGAGAAUUUAGCUCAGGUCCUCUGGAAGAACAGCCAGCUCUCCUAGUCACUGAGCCAUCUCUCCAGUCCU
rnacentral:lncRNA from 1 species